rnacentral:tRNA from 1 species
GGGCAAGUGGCGGAACUGGUAUACGCGCACGACUCAAAAUCGUGUUCCUCCGGGAGUGAGGGUUCGAUUCCCUCCUUGCCCACCA